AUUAGCAAGAAAUUCCCACUAAAAGCCAUACACUUAGAUAUUCAAGUAACCAUUUUAUGAAAUGCAACCUGCUUUUGUAAUGAGUUUUGUCAAAACCUUGUUGACCCUAGUGAGAGUUGUAUCAUAGUCACAAGAUCAAGAUCACGUACACACCACAUAUAUAUAUGCUGCUUCUACACUGGAAGUACGCAACCACAUGUAUUGUGCAUCCACUAAAUAGGUUGCUCCAUACUCUAAGUGUUAGAACACCUCUCUAAAUAUUGUUUAGAAAAUGAGACAUAAAAGGGCUUGGCAAAAUAAAAGAAAAAGAAAAGAUGGACAUGUGCAAGUCCAUGAAAAAAAAAAAAUUUGAGCACAUAAAGCUCGAAGAAAAAGAAAAUCUAGCCAUGUCUCAAUAUACAAGUAGAGAGAGUGUAGUAAAUAAAGGAGCAACCUAGUCCACCAUAUAACACACUUGCACAUCUUGAUCUAUGACUAUGACACUCCUCUCUUUGGAUCCUUGUUUUUGACUUAACAAUAUUUGCAAAGUAGAGUAUGCUACCUUGUUUAUCCCUACCAAGCCCCAUAUAAGCCUAUAAUUAUAGGAUGAAACAAGUUGGCAUUCAUGCCUUGGUGAGGACUACUAAAAAACUUUGAGUGAUCUAGAGCGCUAAAUGAGGAGUAGGAUUGAACUAUGUGACUUAUUUUAAAAAGUGUCAUAAAAACUCUAAGUACCAAGAAUAUGAAAUUGGAAUUUGAUCUUGUUCUGAGAGUUGUUCCUUUUCUCAACCUCUGAAGGAUAUAUGCUAGACACUUACACAAAAACCCAUUUGGAUGAACUAUGUUCGAACUAGCAUUUUAUGCUCACUACUAUCUUAAGUUAGAAACCAUUGAUCACUCAUUUUUAACCUUUACUCGAGGACGAGCAAAGACUCAAGUGUGGGGGGUCUUGUUGACGGUAUUUAUACCAUGUUUUCUACUAUCAUAACUGUCAACAUAAGACUCAUUUUGGGAGAAAACAACCAAACAAAGUAGUAAUAUAGGUACAUAUAACCUAGUUCCACAUGUACAUGAUACUAUUUGGUUGCAGGAGUAAGAACAGGUACUUUUCAAGGGUCCAAACACUAAGAAGGGGUGAAUAACUAAAGAUCAGUGACACCAGUAACCAAGACAACAUUAUAGUCAUGAAGAGGAAGACAUGUAGGACAGGGUUGACACCCUAACCCCAUAGAAUUGGGGUCGGGCGACCCCACUUUGGUGGGUCCCACAGGUCAGCUCAACUCCACCGACAUCAGAGAGCCUCCAGGACACUGCAGGUGGGCCCAACCAGCCAGAUAGGGGGUCGGCCGACCCCACUUCAUGGCGGUUCCAGGGUCGGUUGGCCUCCCACCGACCUUGCCCACAUGUUGCACAUGUUAGUUUGCCUCUACCGUUGAUCAGAUGGC
rnacentral:lncRNA from 1 species